AUCGGUCUAGUGAUGAUUAGAUGCAUAGUUCAAAUGAAUACUCUUAUUAUUUUACUCUUUCGCUCCAAUCUGAUGGCCUUU